GGAGAAGAGGGGGGAUAGAGAAGGGAAGAGGAGCACUGCUAUUCGCCGCCUACCAUUUCCCAGGUUUGCAGGGAAGGGACUGGACGUGAUCCGUUGCUGUCUCUCCUCCGUUCAGGGUUCUCCGUCUCCCGCUUCGUUCUCGCCGCAGUACUACUCGAGAUGACGUGGCUGUCAUUAUCACGAAAACCACAACCACCGCCACCUACAACACUGGAGUGCGCUGACUGGCUGACUCGCCGCCGGGGGGGUUGGCAAACACAAGGUCUGGGCAGACAGGCAGCGAGAGGGUUGUGAUCUGCCUGUCCCGAUGUCUGGCCCAAGGUGCUCUGGCCCAAGGAGCUCCGUCACAGUAAAGGCUGUAGCACUCAUCUCUCCCGGCAGUUCGUUUCCUCUAUCUCGACCCUCCCAGCUUCCUGUCCUCUAAGACAUACGGAUCCUGAAGUUUGCCUUCCAGCUGAGUUGUCUCAAGAGCUGCCACAUCUGCCAGGGACCACACGCUUUGUUGGAGGGUCGUGCUGUGCUCUGCCAGGCAUGACAUCUGAAGUAUGAAGAUCAGAAUUACAAAACCCUCUGGCUCCCUGAGGAAACUAUUUCUACCAUGAGGACCCCUACUGAAGAACUAAUUUUCAAAAUUGAUUAUUGAUAUAGUCUUCAAGGUUACUCAAUAAACAUCUUGACAGGAACA